rnacentral:rRNA from 1 species
GAUGAACGCUGGCGGCGUGCCUAAUACAUGCAAGUCGAGCGAACGGACGAGAAGCUUGCUUCUCUGAUGUUAGCGGCGGACGGGGGAGUAACACGUGGAUAACCUACCUAUAAGACUGGGAUAACUUCGGGAAACCGGAGCUAAUACCGGAUAAUAUUUUGAACCGCAUGGUUCAAAAGUGAAAGACGGUCUUGCUGUCACUUAUAGAUGGAUCCGCGCUGCAUUAGCUAGUUGGUAAGGUAACGGCUUACCAAGGCAACGAUGCAUAGCCGACCUGAGAGGGUGAUCGGCCACACUGGAACUGAGACACGGUCCAGACUCCUACGGGAGGCAGCAGUAGGGAAUCUUCCGCAAUGGGCGAAAGCCUGACGGAGCAACGCCGCGUGAGUGAUGAAGGUCUUCGGAUCGUAAAACCCUGUUAUUAGGGAAGAACAUAUGUGUAAGUAACUGUGCACAUCUUGACGGUACCUAAUCAGAAAGCCACGGCUAACUACGUG